UACGUAGGGUGUGAGCGUUGUCCGGAAUUAUUGGGCGUAAAGAGCUCGUAGGCGGCUUGUUGCGUCGGAUGUGAAAGCCCGGGGCUUAACUCCGGGUCUGCAUUCGAUACGGGCAGGCUAGAGUUCGGUAGGGGAGAUCGGAAUUCCUGGUGUAGCGGUGAAAUGCGCAGAUAUCAGGAGGAACACCGGUGGCGAAGGCGGAUCUCUGGGCCGAUACUGACGCUGAGGAGCGAAAGCGUGGGGAGCGAACAGG
rnacentral:rRNA from 1 species